UACGUAGGGUGCGAGCGUUAAUCGGAAUUACUGGGCGUAAAGCGUGCGCAGGCGGUCCGUAAAGUCUGAUGUGAAAGCCCCGGGCUCAACCUGGAAACUGCAUUGGAAACUAACGGGCUCGAGUGUGGCAGAGGGGGGUGGAAUUCCACGUGUAGCAGUGAAAUGCGUAGAGAUGUGGAGGAACACCGAUGGCGAAGGCAGCCCCCUGGGCUAACACUGACGCUCAGGCACGAAAGCGUGGGGAGCAAACAGG
rnacentral:rRNA from 1 species